rnacentral:lncRNA from 1 species
GUUCGCAGCUGUUGUCGCUGAGGCCGCAGUCGUCUUUCCAGGCCUACAGGAUUUGGCUUCCAGCCCCUGCUGCCUUUAUCAGCUGUCUGAGCUUAGCAUGUUACUUUACCGCUAUCCCAAUACCUUCAUUUGUAAAUGGACAGGGUUCCUUUUGUUCUUUUAUUUUGUUUGUGUUUAAAAAUGUGUAAUGCAGAAGAAUGUAAUUGAACCCUUACCUUACACCGCGUAUAAAAAUUAACGCAAAAUGAAUCAAAGACCUAACUAUAAAGGCUAAAAUUAAAACUCUUAGAAGAAAACAGAGCAAAAACUUCAUAACAUUGGACUUGGUAUGAUUUCUUGGAUAUGAUACCAAAAGCAGUUUGGGAUGAUGAAAACGUUCUGGAAAUAGUGGUGGAUGGAUGCACAAGGUGAAGGUACUUAAUGCCACAAUACUGUAAAGUUAAAAACGGUUAAAAUGCUAAAUUUUGUUAUGUAUAUUUUACUACGACAAAAAUAUUACGUUUCAUGCAUAUGAAAGAAUAUAACGUGUAAUGUAAAGAUAAAAACAAACAUCCGUGUAACCAGCACUACAUGGGGAUAUGGAUCAUUUUUAUAUAUAACUCUUGGGUACCCCUCUGAAUGGUAUCCUCCUCCUCCAAAGAAUAACCACUCUUCUGAUUUUAUGUGUAUCAUUCCUGUGGUUUUCUACCUUGAUAUAGCCCCAAAUAAUGUAUUGAUUAUUGUAUGUUUCUAAACUUUAUAUGAUAUUUGGUAGGUAUGCUGCAAGUGCCCUUUCUUACUAAAGCUAUUGCUUUUAUUUUUUAUUUAUUUUAUUUUUCCAUAAAUUAUUGGGGUGCAGGUGCUAUUUGGUUACAUGAGUAAGUUCUUUUUUUUUUUUUUUUUUUUUUUUUGAGUUGGAGUUUUGCUCUGUCGACCAGGCUGGAGUGCAGUGGCCUGAUUUUGGCUCACUGCAAGCUCUGCCUCCCGGGUUCAUGCCAUUCUCCUGCCUCAACCUCCGAAGUAGCUGGGACUACAGGGGCCCGCCACCACGCCCG